rnacentral:lncRNA from 1 species
UUUUCCACAAAAAUAGAAUUCAAAAACUAAAAUGACCAAAAUAACAUUUUUAUUUUAAAAAUUUUAAAUUUUUUAAAUUUUUAAAAAUUUGAAAUCAUAUCCCUAAAAUCCCACUACUCAACUCUAAACCCUAAACUCUAAACUCUAGACUUUAAACCCUAAACCUUAAACCCUAAACCCUACACCCCACCUUAACUAUAAACCAUAAUGUAUAGAUUAAUUAACCCUAGGAGUAUAAGUGUAUAUUUACUUCUUUUGAUAAAAUAUUUAAGUCUAUUUAGGUCAUUUUUAUUUUUAAGGUCUAUAUUUAUGAAAAAAAAUUUUAGGUCUAUCCUAAAAAAUUUAUCUAUAAUGUUUAUAUUAAAAUCGUGAUAUUUAACAUAUACUAGAUGAUUUCACCGUGCUCAUGCACGUGUAUAAAUAUUUCUAAAGUAAAUAUAUUAUAGUAAUUUAUUAAUAUUUAAUUUUUAUUUUAAAUAAUUUUAGUUGACAAUAAUAUAUAUCUUUUGAAUAGAAGAUUAUUUUGUGAAAUUUCCUUUUUAUAAAUCACAUUACAUAAAAAAAUCUAUUUUCGUUUUUAAAUUUUAUAAAUGUUAUUUUAUUUUUUUGGUCAAAAUUUUAUAAAUGUUAUUUAUUCUAAGGUUAUCUGAAAAAAAAAGAAACCUAAAUAAAAUAAGGAAAAGGAAAAAAUAGAAUAUUUAAUAAUGACAAUUAGACAUAUUUGAUUCAUUCAGGAUACAAUUGUAAAUAACCGUUGUUAGAAUUAACGUGAGAGCGACACGUGGGAAACUGACUUCUCAAACAAUAUUAUAGAGAUAUUUUGCACAGUUAAUAGACCAUACAAAUUCUAUUUUUUUUUGUUAAUUUUUUUUUGUGUUGACUAAUUGAAAAGCAUCUAAAACAGAGACUCUUCCUUUGUUUUUUUAUGAAGAAUUAUUAAUUUUUCAUAUUUAAGAUUUUUAGAGAAAAUUCUUAUUUUACCUCAAAUCUGAUACUAUUUUUAAAUUUACUUUUAAAUAAUAAGUAUUUCAUAAAUGUUUUAAUUUAUUAUGAAAAAGAUAAAACUAAUCCUCUUAAAUCAUUUCUAAAUAUUUUAAAGUUAUUUAUAAAAUUUAUAAACUCAAUUUUACUCACUAAUAUUAAAUCCUAAGUUUUGAAUAAUUGAGUCUAUUUUUCGAAAAUCGGUAUCUAACUUAGUGUAUUUUAAGUAAUUUUUUUUAACAUAUGAGUUAUGUUUUAAAAGUUAAAAGAUCAUAAAGAAUAAUAUCCUCGAGGCCUUAAAUGUAAACGAAUGCGAAUAAUUCAACCAUAUUUGGGAAAAAUAAGGAAAUGUUAUAUAUAUAUAUACAUAAAAAUAUUUAACUUUGCAGUUUAUAUAUUGAUUAAAUUUUAUAAACUCAUCUUUCAAAUUAUUUUACUAUAUUAUUUGGUGUAUAUAAAAUAUGUAACAUAAAAUUUAAAUGUGUUUGUAAAUAUAAUUUUAUUAAAUUUUUCAAAAUAUUUUAAAGUGUUAAGAAAGUAGAAAUAGAUUUCAUUGUGAAUAUAAAACAAAUAAUAAUAUUUUUUAUUUUAUAAAAAAUAAUAUAUAUUAAUAUAUUUUAUUAAAUUAUUAUUUUAUUAUUUUAUCGAUUUGUGUUAUAUUUUCCAUCUAUCUAAUUCCAGGCCGAUGAAAUUUAUUAAUUUAUAAUAUUUAUUAAUUUAUAAUUUUAUACAGUUUAUUAAAAAUGGUAAAACUGUAAAAGUAAAAGAAGUCUUACCCCUGCGAUUUCGAAUAUGUAAUUAUGUAAAGACCCAUUAGGUGCUGGGUCUUACAUUAUGCAGUUAGAGGCCUAUUUACAACUGUUUGAAAAUUUGAAAGAUUAUGGGCCUUUUACAGAAUUGACGAGUUGAGGCCAUUUUAAAAGCCUUUUACAGAAUUGACGAGUUGAGGCCAUUUUAAAAGCCUUUUACAGAAUUGACAGAAUUGCUUUUUAAACAUUGCAAAAACAAAAAGUUUGUUUUCCUAAAUAACUCGGUAUAUGAUAAUAUCAUAAUACCAUUUUCAGUUUGUAUUUUAUGCCCCAAUAUCCUAAAGUAAUAAUAGCGUGAUAGUGACAAUUAAUGUGAAGAAGACAAUGGGCACCAAAAGAUAAUCGAUGUGAAAAUCAGCGUCAAGAGUAAGGACCAAGAUAUAUAUUUUUUGCUAAGACGGACCCAUUUAUCUUAUAAAUCUCGGGUUGCGAAAGGACAAAACUGUACUGUGUUUCUAUUGGAAUGGCUUCCGUUCAUGUUACGUGCUAGAAUACUAGCUAGUUUUUUUUUUUCCAACACGGGAGACUUUCUAUUAAAAUAUAAACGUCCGCAUACAGACUAUGAUUCCAAACAGCAACAAGGGGAUGAAACUAGUUCAUUAUGCAUAUAUUGUUUUACCUAAUGGGCUUUGUCUUUUUACCCCCUUCCUUUUUUUUACAAAAAAAUUUAACAUUAGAUAAACGUAAAACAAUCUCUAAAUGGCAGCUUAUUUAAGCCUAAAAUUUAAAACAAAACAUACAUGGUAGCUUACUCGCGAAAGCAACCAACCAGUCCGGUGGUACAAGGGAGUAUGGUUCACGCAAGCUACCCCAAAUAUGAUGUUCUUGUCUGAAAUACAAUUUAUGAUAGUGAAAAAGAAAAAAAAACAUGAGUGGUGAUUGGAUUGAUGAUAAAAUAGAAUUUUGUCUACAGUAACCAAGAUGAAGAGUUAGAAUACUCAGACAGAUGCUUCUUGUAUUCUAGGCAACGCUUCAUUAGAGACACUAGAUCACCUAUUUUUCCAAUGUAACCUUUGUCGAAAGUUAAUGGGCAUGGAAUAAACGACAAAAUGGAAUAAGAUUCUACAAAUAUUGGUUGAUAAGGCUCAAGAUAGUGUCCUUCUCUUCUUUAUCCGCUAAACUUUUCAAGUCACCCUUUAUACCAGCAGCUCAAAUUACUCCCAACCAGUGGUGAAGCUAGCGUGUAAUUAGGGUGGUCAAAGGACCUAUAUGAUAAAAAAUUUUACUUGUAUUUUCCUUUUCAAAUUUGAUGAAAUUUAAACAAAUAAAUUGUAACCCUUGUUAUGCCUCCGCUAGUCCGUGUCCCCCAUAUAAUAAUAAUUAAAUAGCCAAUUUUUUUUAAAAAAAUCUAUAUUUUUAUAUAUAAAAAAAAUUAUAAAUAUAAUAAAUAAAAUUGAAAAGGGCUCAAAAUUAUUUGAUAUGUGUAUAGUUUUAUUUUCAUUACAAAAUAUAAAAAAAUAUUACUGAUUGAACUUUAAAAAAUAUUUUAAACAUUAUAUGUACAUAAACUUUAAAGGAUAAAUUUUUUUUUUUUGCCCUAUGAUCUCUAACAGUGUUGAGCCGGCUCUGGCUACUGUUCACAACGUUGAUAUGAUGGUACACAACAUAAUCUCUUCGUUCUGAGAGAUGAAAAGGAACCCAUACAAAGGUGCUAUUGUUCAUGGUGCGCUUCACCAUAACCAUCUCAACCACCGAUCUCUAUCUGUUCAAUCUUUUUAUUUUAAAAAAGUUCAGUAUCAGUCACAACUAUUGUUUCUUUUUUGAUAAUUGUGGUGUGAUCUUAAAAGUUUUUUAGUCCUAAUGACUAAUCAAUACGAGAUCCAUAGAAAUCUGGAUUUUCGUGCCACUUAAGGAAUCAAUGGGUGGCCAAGAGAAAUCGAAUUCAUUGUAGAAACUCCAACCGUAGCUCCUUUACCACUAGACCGAAACGACUUGGUUAAGUCACAACUAUUGUAUAAACAAUUUUUUUGCUCUAAAUUAAUUUAACAUAUAUUAAAAAAAAGCUAAAACUAUCUAAGAAUCUAACUAUAAGUCUAUAACCACCAUCAAUCAAAACGAAAAUUUGUAGUGGUUAUAUACACCAAUAGUUUGAUUACAAAUAUUUAUUUGACAAAUAACAUGAAGAUUAUCUGUAAAAUAUCAAACAAUUUGAAGACAUAUUAGAUUUAUGAAAAUGACGCAGAAAAUAAUCGUGCUAACUAAAACAUUCAGAUAUAGUUCAAAUUUCCACUAUGUAAUGCUUAUAUAUAUUUUUAAUGACAAUUUCAUGAGUAAGCAAAACAAAAACAUAAAGUUCGUAUAUAUUAUAUAUCAGGGGGCCUAUUUAUAAAAACGAAGGAAAGAUUGUGAUACCUAACAAAAUGGGAAGACUUGGUGAUGAUAAGAGACUAGAAGGACGAAGAUGCGAAGAGACAUACCAACUUUUUUUUUUUGUUUAAUCUGAGAGAAUUCCGGACCGAAAAACAUAUUAAUCUUUAAGAAGAUAUGCAGUCUAUGGAUGAAUCUUCUUUUUGAGUAUUUAAAUAGAAUCCAAAAUAUGAUCAUAUAUCUGCGUGACUACACGUUAAAGUAAAUUGAGUAGUAACAUAUUUAAACUCAGCUUAUUAGAGAUGCUAAAACGCCAUGUACCACCCGACCACUAACGCGUGGUUGACGCACCAACUUUACUAUGCCGAAUCAAAAGAGAAAAGAAAAAUCAUCUUUUUAUCUUACCUCUCUCUCUCUCUUUUAACUUGCUUUCAACCAUACACACAUAUACGCACACUCAUGCAAACAAAGACCUUUAGUAGUGUAAAACUAUAUAUAUUUAGUAGACAAAGCUUGCAUCAUGGCUUGCCUUUGCAAAUCUUUUGAUUCACGAUCAAAAAUGUAUACUUCUUUGUUUUUGAAAGAUGUAUGUUUGUAUUUUCCCUAAAUGUAUUAUAUGUUUGUUUUUGAGUAGUGAAAAAAGACAUGAAACAUCGAGUUAUUAUUUUCCCUAAAUGUAUAUUACUCUUUCGAAUCAUAGUCACUAAUCCACUACAGUGGCUUACCCUUUUUACUAAAUAUAUACUUCUUUGUUUUUGAAAGAUGUAUGUUUGUAUUUUUUUACACAUAAUAAUAACAUAUUAUAAAUUUUAAUAAACUUAUAUUUUUUUUGUAUUUAUAAAUUUCCUGUAAUUCUAAAACAAUAGUGUUUGAAAAAGUACAAUUAAUCUUUGUGAAGUUUGCGAUUUACCAAUAUUAACUAAUAAAAAUCUCAUAUAAAACUUUAUACAUGCAUUUAAAAAAUAAUUUUUAUUUUAAAACAUUUAUCUUUUUAGAGACAGAGUGAAUAUAUUACAACCCAACAAUUUAAAAAUCGUAUGUGCCUUAUUUGUAUAAUUGAGUUCAAAAUAAAUUAUAGUAGCCUAGUAUAUUAGUUUUUUUUUGUUUGUUCAUUCAAUCACCAUAGCGUAGAAUAUCAGUUGAAUGAAGAGAGAUGAAACAUUUUACAAUCAAUUUAAUCAUUAUUCAUUACUUUUUUCUCACAUAAGUUUUUAUGAAAGAGCCGAUAAGCUUUAAAAUAAUUACGUUGCUUGCACAUUUAGGUAUAUAUAUGCAUGCAGAAUUUUGGUAUUAGGACCAGUUUUGGUAUCGAUUUAACUUGGUUUGAAAAGAUUUGAUAUGAUUUUAUUUGGCUCUUUUCCUUUUUCUAUAAAUGUUUAUUUAAUAACAACAAAAUUAUCUGAUUGAAAUGGUAAAUCGGAUAUGAUGUAUUUAAGUUUUGUUCAACUGAUUUGAAAAUUUUGGCUCUUUUCCUUUUUCUAUAAUUUUUUAUUCGACGACAGUAAAAAUAUUUUAUUUAAAAAUUGAAUACUAUCAGGAUAUAUUAGUAAAACAGUGAAAAGGUUAUAUAAAAGCAGUUUGCUAAAUUUUAAAAUUAGUAACGAUACUAAUUGAAAAACAUGAGUUUGCCGCUCUAUAAGUAAAGUCAAUAUCAAACUAACAGAAUAAUUUAUAUAUAUUAUUCAUGAAAAGGAGGAACACAUGACUAAUAGAGUACAUAAGAAUAAACGAAGAAGAAAAUCAACAAGAAAAAUAUAACAAUAUGAAAAAUAACGUAUUAAAACAUGAUGAUAGAAGGAUUGUCUAUCCUUUUUUGCCACCUCCGCGGCUCUACGGCCAACCAGACAUGUUGCUUUUCGUGUCUUCAUACUUUUCUAUUCUUUUCCUUUUAGUUUAUACUAUAAUUGUGGGCGUUUGUCAAAUCAUGGAUUAUGCUUCUUUAUUUGCUAUAAUCCCAUUUCAAGUAUCUACUCGGAUAUAAUAACAAUGACAAAAAAAGAUCCGUCAAUCAUAGCUUUAGAUUUUAACAAAGCCACCAAAAUUGACGGUGUGGUAUUAUCUGUAUCAAUCAGAAUAUAAUCCUGAAUUAUAUAUAGGUAUCCGAGAUGGAUUUCUGUCUUAAUGAUUCUUUGCAGAAUGUCAGAAGGAAUAUUAUGAUGUUAUCGUACAUUUUUGUCGACAAUGUUUUUACUACUACUACUCCUUCAUUUUUUUUUUAUAUUUGACGCUUUAGGAUUGUACGCAUAGAUUAAAAAACAUUUAAUUUUUUAAACAAAAACAUUAUUAAUUGUUAACCUAACUAUAAUUUAACUAAUAAUAAAAUAGAAACUAUAAUACCAUUAGUCAUCUAACAUUAAUUAGUAAUAAAUUUUAUAUAGAAAAUUGAAAACGUCAAAUAUAAAAAAACGGAAGGAGUAUUAAUUAAGAAAACCCAGAGGGCAAGAAAAACUAUUAUGGAAAGAAAAUCAUUCAACUUGUAUAUCAUUUUGUUUUUGUAAAUAAAGGCAAUAAAUAUAAUGACCAAACUAGACAUUUUUAAGUUUUUUCCACAAAAAUAGAAUUCAAAAACUAAAAUGACCAAAAUAACAUUUUUAUUUUAAAAAUUUUAAAUUUUUUAAAUUUUUAAAAAUUUGAAAUCAUAUCCCUAAAAUCCCACUACUCAACUCUAAACCCUAAACUCUAAACUCUAGACUUUAAACCCUAAACCUUAAACCCUAAACCCUACACCCCACCUUAACUAUAAACCAUAAUGUAUAGAUUAAUUAACCCUAGGAGUAUAAGUGUAUAUUUACUUCUUUUGAUAAAAUAUUUAAGUCUAUUUAGGUCAUUUUUAUUUUUA